UGAAGGCCAUGGAGACCUCGUCACGUGUAGUUGUUCUCGUCACGUGGAGUUGUUCUCGCCACGUGUAUUUGUUGUCGUCACGUAGAAUUCUGUCACGUGGAAUUCAGUCAUCUAAAAACUCUUCACGUGGUUUCUCCCCACAAUUCCACACCGUGACUACUGCUUCACCUUGAUAAACUCUUGUCGCUUCUAGAUUUCGGGCAUUCAAACAUUCGAUCUAGUCUGAUGUUGAAUCUGCAGACCGUGAACUGACUGGAGAGCCAGAGCUGACUUCAAUGACGAGUUGAAACGACUUCAGAUGACUUCAGAUGACCUCACAUUACAACUUGAGACCUCAACAAGGAUCAUCAACUUGCCUGGCGGUCGAAAUGCUGACUUGAUCUCAAUUUCAAUACUGGCUUGAUCUCAAUUUUAAUACUAACCUGAUCCCGAUUUCAAUACUAACUAGAUCCCGACUUCAACUCUGGACUGGUUCGCUUCCUGUGAAGUUUGCAGCCAACCCUUGAAGAUGUUAAACUCGACUCCAGGAACCUCAGAACCGACACUCCUCCGGGUACUGCCUUCACCAUACCGGCGAGAGCUUCUAGAUGGAUCCUUUACAGUCAGUCUAGUAGAUAGUGUCUCUGUCUACUGUGAACCCAUCAAGAAGAUGGAGCGUCCUAGUACGGAAUAACCAGACAGAGAUUCAACACCAACCUGUGGUUAAGACUCAACUAGCCUUUAUCGGCUGAGCUGAGGACCAUCACACCAUCGGGCUCCUCUGAACUCCUCCAAAACCUCGAAUGUCCCUUUUCCAAGCCAAGUGAAUGUCUCGAGGUUGUGUGGAUUACCCAGUCGACUUGAUAACACCGUUCUGGUAGUCACUUGUUCCAACAUCCAGAUCUCGGGGAGUGGAAGAGUCUGGAGAAUGAUUCUAUGGCAGAUCAAAUCCGUUGGCGGUGGGUCGUUCUUUGUUUGAUCAUAAUGGAUCUAGAACUAGACUAAAUCCAUUGACGGUGGUUUAGCUGUUUUUGUCCAACUAAGAACCAACUAAUUGUUUAUCAGGGCUAGAAGAGACUACCAUGGGGAACUCACUUCUGAUAGUGAUACCGAUCAUCUUUCUUUUUGAACUUAUCAACAUAUGACCAAGUAUACACGAAGAUAGACCCGUUUUAACAGCCUCCCUGUUUUCCGACUCCAUAAUGAAUCCAAACAGUUGACAUCUGCUGCCGAAAGACUUACCGGUAUCACAUUAGGGUGUGUCUAUAACUCUCCAGUCGACACAGGCAUUGUGGGAUAGCUCUACUAGGUGUUGGGCUAUUAGAAAAGUGUUUCAAUGAGUCAUUCCAUAAAGACUUGGAGUGUUCCUUCUGUCUUUCUUACCGAUUGAGGGUGAUUAUGCCCCUUACGAUACCAUCGGGUGUUCCAACACCUACCUGAAGGAAGUAUCAGUUGAAACUGUAGUAGAUGGAUUCAGAAGACGAAGGGUGUAUCAAACAGUCCAGUAAGUAGCUUCUGA
rnacentral:misc_RNA from 1 species